rnacentral:rRNA from 1 species
GGGUUGUGAGGUUAAGCGACUAAGCGUACACGGUGGAUGCCCUGGCAGUCAGAGGCGAUGAAGGACGUGCUAAUCUGCGAUAAGCGUCGGUAAGGUGAUAUGAACCGUUAUAACCGGCGAUUUCCGAAUGGGGAAACCCAGUGUGUUUCGACACACUAUCAUUAACUGAAUCCAUAGGUUAAUGAGGCGAACCGGGGGAACUGAAACAUCUAAGUACCCCGAGGAAAAGAAAUCAACCGAGAUUCCCCCAGUAGCGGCGAGCGAACGGGGAGGAGCCCAGAGUCUGAAUCAGUGUGUGUGUUAGUGGAAGCGUCUGGAAAGGCGCGCGAUACAGGGUGACAGCCCCGUACACAAAAAUGCACAUACUGUGAGCUCGAUGAGUAGGGCGGGACACGUGGUAUCCUGUCUGAAUAUGGGGGGACCAUCCUCCAAGGCUAAAUACUCCUGACUGA